GACAAUUUACCUGAAGAAAUUGAGGAAGUGGGCAAAUCAGUAUUUAUCACUCAGGUGUUUACAAAUGGAGAUAUUUACAAUUCACAAGGUUUCUGUAUAAAACGAAAGGUAUGGGAGUAUGAUUUAUAAAAGAUACUAUAGCAAGUAUGCGUAGGAGAAAAAUUUCUUUUGCAUGUGGAAGGAGUUGUCAUUUGAAUUCAUGCAAUGACGAAAGACGAUGCCAACAUACUUCAGAACGAUGGUUUGUCAUCAACUGCACCGCCAGAUAAAGUAAACAGCAGUGACAAUAGUAAUGAACACAACACUUUCAUUCCACCGAAGGUAUCAGUGACUUUAACUGACUCUGUGGCAGCGGUAACAGUGGCUGUACUAGCUUGUGUUCUGCUGUUAACUGUAGUUUUUAUUAUUAAAGCUAUAAAAAGACGUAGAAGAGCUCAACGUGGUGAAGAGAUAAAUCACGUCCCAACCAUUGCAGCAGGUGUAAUGGGAACAGGUGUAGCAGCAUACAAUACUAAUAGACAUCAUAAUAACACUGUAGAAGGAAGCAUUAGUUGGGAACCAGUUACUCCUUUACCUUCAACUUCAACUAGUUUACACUUUCCACCAAGGGGAGAUAACUCGGUUUAAUUGUACCACGAAGAGAUAGCUCAGUUAUAAUCAGUAAACGAAGGGAACUCAUUUGAAUUUACUGUGAUAGACUAUAGACUUACAGUUUUUUGGACAAUUUGUACAUAUUUGUGCCAUAAGUAAAUAAGUGAGCACAGGUUUGCCUUUUUGUAUUUAAAACAGUGUUAAUUUAUGAAAAUAAUAUUCACAAAAAUAUGUCUUGUACCAGUUUGUGUCAGGAUUUAUUAAUCCUAUGGUAGGCCUAUGCAUUUAAAAAUAUUUAUAUUAUCUUUUAUAUUAUCUUCUGAUAUGAGAUACAUGUACCCAGUGACGAAUCAUGACGAGGGCAAUAGAGGCAAAAGCCUAGGGGCCCGGGGAUUUGGUGACAAAAAAAAAAUAUUUAUUUUAUAUUUUGUAGAAAAAAAUAAUGAAGACCCAUUUCCCAAAAUGAGUUUUGAAAUUAUUAGGUAGAGGGACACAAGAGGCAUAGAUCAGAAAAAAAUUGAUAUCAAUUAUCUUGAUGUGACACAUUUUGAAAAUUCAACUGAUUGAAAUGCUACUGACUUGCAGUCUGAUUGAUGUUAUUUAUUAAUUCUUUUUGCAAACUCAUGUAGUCCGAUUUGGAUAACAGGAAUGUGGCAUAACCGUUAAAAAAAAAAAUCUUGAAUCAAUUCUCCAAGUAUAUUCCUGAAGAAACAAAUUCUGCACUAUUCGGAAAUAUGAUCUGCAACAACUGCUUAGAACUAAGCAUAUGACUUCCCACCAGGGAUAUACUCCAUAGACCACCAUUUCGAAAUUUCAAAAUUUUUUGGGGAAGAUCCCCUCAAUCUCAGGGGGAAAGAGCCCCCAAAAAACCCUAGUGUCAUCUUGUCACUGGGCUCGACAGCUACGCUGCCUCAGGGCCCAGUGAUCUCAUGAUCUGCCACUGCAUGUACUAUAUGUAAAACUUUCUCAAAUUUUGAAUUCAUAGAAAAAGGUUACAUCUUUUGAUCUUAGGAUCUAUAAGAUCAAUUUCUGUGGAAGUAACUUUUUCUAGGAGUAAAAUAUUUGAGACCUACACUGUACGGGUAUAUCUUAUUGCGCGGUAGAGAAUAAAGAAUUAUAUAAACUGUGUUAUAUAUCAUCUUAUUUACAGAUAAUCUUAGUUAUUUUUACCACAGUUAAUUUUUAUAUUGUACUACAUGUACAUCAAUAAAUUUAACAUGACAUUUUUGAAUGAAACUGGCAUUCAGAUACCAUAAUAUUAACUUUUUAACUAUACAAAUCAUUUCUGUUGAUGUAACGGGCUGCUUAUUGUUGUGAAUUACAGGAAUAAUUCUCUGUCAGUCUGUGGUUUAGAAGUUAUAACCAUUUGGAGUGAAAUAUUAGGCUGCUAUUCGGUCAGACUACAGUGUAGUGGAAACAAAAUUGUAAUUUUCUUGGAAGCACAUUUCUCCAUUUAUGUUGUUGAGAUAAUUUGUAAAUGUCUUCAAUCCUUCUUAAUCAAUGUUGUAUGCACAAAAUUAAAGUAGAGCAUUUAUCACUGCCACAGAGAUUUUUAAAAUCAAGUUAUACUUGGAAAAAAGCUUAACACGUAAUUCUGGGAAAGGACAUGGCCUUAUGGUUUUGGUCACUGUUCAUAACUUAUAAAUUUUGAUAUAUUAUUAAAAUGUCUAAAUCAAACAAGGAUGCUCUGCUUUGUGAAAAAGCUUUACAUACCAAUGAGUACCGAGUUUUAAGCUUAGUUUAAAUCUACCGAUAUUCUUAAAAAUUUAUUCAUUGGGGCUGAUUAAUUCAUUGAGCCUGAUGAAUUCAUUGAGAUAAACAUAUAGAUAUAUUUUAUCUAUAUUCUUAUUAUAGUCUACUGUAUUAUAGUAUAAUUUACUUUUAUCUGUUCUCCCAUUGUAGAGGAUAAAAGUUCAUCGCCUUAAUUAUAUACAUUUGAUAGUCUCAAACACCCAGACCAUAUAUACUUAGAUCCAUGAAAAUGUACCACCUUUAUAAACUGGUGAUAAUCUUGUUUGAGAGAUACAUUGUUGGAUUUUAAAAAGAUUAGGAAGUGCCUGUCUAUUAAUUAAAACUAUUUAUUAACCUGUGAUAUAAUUGAUCAAAAUUACACUUACAAUGAGAUUAUCAUAUAAUUUAUUAUUUACAUGUAUAUAGAAGCUCUUAAGUUGUGUAUGUCAGAAUGUCCCUUUGUUAUGAUAUCAACAUCUUCACAUUUCUUGUUAGUAUAAUUAGACAACAAAACUACAUGUAUCUUGUUGAGAUUGAUAAGAACAGUUUUGCUCAUUGGUUUACAAGUUAUGCCCUUUAUUAUGUAAACUUGGGCUGCAAUUAUUAAACUAUGUUUCUGAAAUUUAUAUUGGUUGGCUAUCCUACUGAAAGGAAGAAUCCUAUUUAUUUUCAAUAAAUUUUGAUUUGCAGUUUUUAUGAAAUUAGAAUAUUAAAAUUAUUGUCUUAAUAAAUGGGAUUAAUUGAUUUUCAUGAAAGGGGAGAACCACUGUCAAACAAAUUGCAUAUGAACAAGUAAUCAUGAAUGCAUGAAAACUUUUCAUACUUGAAACUUUGCAUACCCAUUCCUUAUACCAUAUUGUUUUUGGUGAAUGCCCGACCCCCAGUGGGUGAGUCACACCCAUGUUUCCUUUGUGUGUCGACUACAGGUCACAAUUUUUAAUGGACCAUCUUGGAACUUAGUAUAUGUAUUCCUUCUAGCCUAAGGAUGACAACUAUUGAUUUUCAUGCAUGACUCGACCCCCAGGGGCAGAGCCACGCCCAAUUAUUGUGUUUAUCAUAAACUGGCCGCAAUUAUGAAUGGAUCAUCUUGAAACUUGCACAGGUAUUCCUUAUAGCCUAAGUGUGGCAACUAUUGAUUUGGGUGCAUGUUCCGACCCCAGGGGCAUCGCCACGCCCAAUUUUCGUGUUUGGCGUCUAAAGGCUACAAUUCUGGAUGGAUUAUCUUGGAACUUGGUAUACUUAUUUAUUAUACCCUAAGGACGGUAACUAUUGAUUUUGGUGCAGGAAUGUGGACUAUAUUGCAGCGGUAGCGAUGCUCUUGUUUUAUUAUAUUAAACUAUAGUACACCAAGCAUUGAAAUCAUGUAAAAGUAAUAAUAUACACACACUAUUGUGCUUUCUUCAUAUAUACUGUAGUUGAAAUCUUUAUAAUCUGGUGGUGUACUGAGCACUACAAGAUUUUAUUUAAUUGUACAAUUUUACUUUACAUGUUCUCUAUCAUUCCAUAUAUAUAUUAUUGUAUUAUUAUUUUAUAUUAAAAGUAUGUUUUAAGAAAAGCUAUUUCAGGCCCAAAACAGUCCACAGAGACCAUAACAUUGAAACAUGGGCAUGAGGAGUAUAAAUCAAAUCAUUAACAUGUGUGUCCACUUCUAGCAAGAAAUCUGCCGCAUGUAUAGACUCUGAAUAACAGCUUGUGGGUUCCUUCUCCUACUUGUUGCAUUGCUGUUUAUGGGCCAUUAUGGUGAUUCUUGUAUAUUGUAAUCACUGUUUAACCGAUCAUAAAUAGGAUGAAACAAUUGGUAACAUUAUUAUAUGGUGUGUUUGUUAGCUUCAUUGUCAAUCUCGGCUCCCUGUGAGAAGUUUACCGUGCGUUUAUCUCUGGAAAAACUCGCCGGCCAUUAUUUAUCAAUCUUAGUUCGGUUCCUAGUCUCUCCGCCAGUGGCUCCUGUAUUGGAUAGAUUUGUUUGAAUGAAAUGCUGCCGAUUUCUCGAAAGUUAGGCAUCGGUUCGUUGCAUGGAAAGACAGGCCCGUUUUAAUAGUCCCCUUCUUUCUCGAUAAAAGAGAAACAGAGUAUCAUUAUGAACCAAGGCUAUUUUAAAGACAA